rnacentral:rRNA from 1 species
GCAAGUCGAACGUGAACGUCCUUCGGGGCAAGUAAAGUGGCGCACGGGUGAGUAACGCGUGGAUAAUCUACCCUUAAGAUGGGGCUAACGGCUGGAAACGGUCGCUAAUACCGAAUACGCUCCCGAUUUUAUCAUUGGGGGGAAAGAUGGCCUCUGCUUGCAAGCUAUCGCUUAAGGAUGAGUCCGCGUACGAUUAGCUAGUUGGCGGGGUAACGGCCCACCAAGGCGACGAUGGGUAGCCGGUCUGAGAGGAUGACC